GGUGCACACUAUUAAAGCCUGUCACUACUGUUGGUGUUGGGGUGUCGGAAGUGUGCUAAAGUGAGCUGGCCGGGUUUUCGCUAACACCAUGAGGACUUCCUGUCCCAUGACUGGGGUUUGAUAGUGACCUGAGCCACAUGG